GAUCUUGUGGUGUAGCGGUCAACACAUCCAGCAAGCAAUUGGAAGACUCGGGUUCAACUCCCGGCGAGGGCA
rnacentral:tRNA from 1 species